GUAGUUACCAGAGUUCUGGUAUUCGCUACCCAUCAAGUCGUCACCCUGAGCCAUGGAAGGAGCCCUUCUUCUAGCCUUAUGAACCCACUCCACCCCUGGCGGACUCUUGACGGCUUCCCAAACGCUCCUUACGAAUGAAAAAGGAAUAAGAGAACCAAGAAAAAGAGAGAAGUUGACAUGAAGAUGGCAACAUGUUGUGCUGGUAUGGGGUGUUUCAGCCACAGGCAUCUCUCUGAAGGCUCCAGGCUUAAACCUGCCGUCU
rnacentral:lncRNA from 1 species